rnacentral:lncRNA from 1 species
AUCCUGCCACUUGCUCCCACAUGCAGAGUAUUCAUGGCUUAACUUUCUACUAAAAACUGAGCGAGACAGAUAUCGAUAACACUAACUUUAGCGAUAAGCAGGCAUGUUGCAACAACAUGCAGAGUGAAGAGAGAGAGGAAAUGUACAUGUUUACAGUCUAAUUUUUCCAGGCAGAUCGCUGAUUUGGAGGUCGGUUCGGCGUCCCCUGUGAAUACCCUGAGCCUGAACGAGCAGACCGAGGCGAGCUCAUCGGUAGUUGCCCUGAGCCCGAAAAAGUAGCACACGGAGGCGAGGUUGUCGGUUGUUGCCCUGAGCAUGAACUAGCAGACGGAGGCGACCUCGUCGGUAGUUGCCCUGAGCCCGAAAAAGUGGCACACGGAGGCGAGGUUGUCGGUUGUUGCCAUGAGCCUGAAUGAGCAGACGGAGGCGACCUCGUCGGUGGUUGUCCUGAGCCUUGAUGACUAGGCUGGGCAGAGUUCGUUGUCGACGUUACUAAUUGUGAAUUCCUGUACCUAUCAGCACGCUUCACGUAUAGUGGUUUCUCAUUGUCGGGAGGACGAGAGAUGUAUGGAAGAUAGGGACUUUCAACAAGGUACACCCAGGUUUUCACAACGCUCAUGUUCACUCGAAAACCAGGAAAGACAGUUAAUAGAACCGCAAGGUUGUAGUCGUUGUCCUCCUCGUCGUCACCCAUUCCAGGCACGGAAGAUAUCAUGUAAUUCCUGUCAAAUCUAUGCUCUCGCUCGGGGUAGAUCGGCAUGACUCUGUCCUCAAACGAAGACGCCAACCUCUGGAGCAGCCAGAAAGACACUGCUGCGCCUAAAAAACUCCUGUAGAAGGGGUGAUUGAGGUGCUUUUUACUUAUUUCAUUGGUAGACAAAGCUCCUUCAAAGAAUCCACCCCCCGCGUCCAGAGUUAGGAGCAUCUCGAACUUCUUCGUACAGAAGUCUGAGAUAUGCGUUUCAUUUAACUCGUUUCUCAACAAUUUGGCUACUGUUUCACCCUUGACUUUGUACUUCAGAAACUGUUGAAAGCAAUCUCUCGAAUGUUCUUGCUGCCACGAGGACUGUCCUGCACGUCUGAUGCCAAAAGAGGAAUUUUCGAAGUCAGCAAACAACAGUUGGCAAAGGCAAGCCUGAACCAAGUGUCUUAGGUCGACUAUUGGUGCAUCAAUCGGCACGCUCAAGCGUUGCAUCAUCUGCACUUUCAUGGCCGUUUGCACUUCAACAUUAGCUGUCUUAAAUGGUGCCAAAAAAUCUUUACAGAACUGAUUAAGCGCUUCCCGUGCUGCAGACUGGGUGGUUGUAAGAAUGGCGGGUGAUGGUGCUGUCCCAUCGUCGAUGUAUGCGCCCCGAGAAGAUCGUUGGACAAUUUGUUCUGGACAGAGCAUCGCCCUAGCAGUCUCCGGACGUCUCUGAGCUCCUGCAUUGGUCAUCUCU